GUGUUGUAUAAAAAGAGAGAAGCUUAACAUUCCCUUGAUAAGGAUGGAAGAGGUCCCAGUGACCUUUUCAACACAUAUAUGAUUAAGCCAUUGCCACCUACUCUGUGGCAACUAACCAUUUUUUUUC
rnacentral:ncRNA from 1 species